rnacentral:lncRNA from 1 species
AAAGAGCCUCCUCCUGAGUUUGAGUUCAUUGCUGAUCCUCCCUCUAUCUCAGCCUUCGACUUGGAUGUGGUGAAGCUGACGGCUCAGUUUGUGGCCAGGAAUGGGCGCCAGUUUCUGACCCAGCUGAUGCAGAAAGAGCAGCGCAACUACCAGUUUGACUUUCUCCGCCCACAGCACAGCCUCUUCAACUACUUCACGAAGCUAGUGGAACAGUACACCAAGAUCUUGAUUCCACCCAAAGGUUUAUUUUCAAAGCUCAAGAAAGAGGCUGAAAACCCCCGAGAAGUUUUGGAUCAGGUAAACUGAAUAGCAUUUCUUGCAACCAGUUACUGGUGGUUGGUUCUGUUUUAUGUCUGAAAACAGUCUCUGAGGCAGGACCUUGUUAUGUUCCAGUCAUGGGAAUGGUGGGAGAAAAGGCUUUGUUGGCUACAAAGGCCAAAGAAACCUGGAGUCCGGAUGCUUCCCAACAUACCACAACUUUCUGCUUUGCUCUCAGCCUCAAUAUAUCUCCCUCUUUUCCACUCUAGCUAGAAGACAGAAGGCCAGCUCCCAAGC